CCGGCACGGGUGAGUAACACGUAUGCAACCUGCCUGCCACAGCCGGAUAAUCGGGAGAAAUUCCGUCUAAUACGGCAUAAUGCAUCGACGGGACAUCCUGUUGGUGCCAAAGGUUGAUUCCGGUGGCGGAUGGGCAUGCGUCGCAUUAGUUAGUUGGCGGUGUAACGGACCACCAAGACGACGAUGCGUAGGGGUUCUGAGAGGAAGGUCCCCCACACUGGUACUGAGACACGGACCAGACUCCUACGGGAGGCAGCAG
rnacentral:rRNA from 1 species